GAGUGCGUAGCUCAAUUGGCGGAGCACCAUGCUUUUAACAUGGGGGAUGCAGGUUCGAGGCCUGCCGCGCUCA
rnacentral:tRNA from 1 species